rnacentral:rRNA from 1 species
GACGAACGCUGGCGGCGUGCUUAACACAUGCAAGUCGAACGGUGAAGCGCCUUCCUUUUUGGUGGGUGUGGAUGAGUGGCGAACGGGUGAGUAACACGUGAGUAACCUGCCCCCUUCUCCUGGAUAACCGCAUGAAAGUGUGGCUAAUACGGGAUAUUCUGGGUCUGUCGCAUGAUGGGUCUGGGAAAGAUAUUGUUUCGGUGGGGGAUGGGCUCGCGGCCUAUCAGCUUGUUGGUGGGGUGAUGGCCUACCAGGGCGGUGACGGGUAGCCGGCCUGAGAGGGUGGACGGUCACACUGGGACUGAGACACGGCCCAGACUCCUACGGGAGGCAGCAGUGGGGAAUAGUGCACAAUGGGCGCAAGCCUGAUGCAGCGACGCCGCGUGAGGGAUGGAGGCCUUCGGGUUGUGAACCUCUUUCGCCAGUGAAGCAGGCCUGCCUCAUUUGUGGGUGGGUUGACGGUAGCUGGAUAAGAAGCGCCGGCUAACUACGUG